GUAGGGAAUAUUGCGCAAUGGACGAAAGUCUGACGCAGCGACACCGUGUGAAGGAUGAAGGUCCUCGGAUCGUAAACUUCUGUCAAUUGGGGACGAAGGUAUUAGGGUUAAUAGCUUUUAAUACUGACGGUACCCAAUAAGGAAGUCUCGGCUUACUCCGUGCCAGCAGCCGCGGUAAGACGGGGGAGGCAAGCGUUGUCCGGAAUUAUUGGGCGUAAAGAGCGCGUAGGUGGUUUAUCAAGUCAUUUGUGAAAACUUUAGGCUUAACUUAAAGAUUGCAAGUGAUACUGGUAUACUUGAGCACAGCAGAGGAAAGUGGAAUUCCUGGUGUAGCGGUGAAAUGCGCAGAUAUCAGGAAGAACACCAGUGGCGAAGGCGGCUUUCUGGGCUGUUGCUGACACUGAGGCGCGAAAGCUAGGGGAGCGAACAGGAUUAGAUACCCCGGUAGUCC
rnacentral:rRNA from 1 species